GUGGGGAAGCGGAGGGACAUUACAGAGUUGCAAAACUCCCUAAACCAUUGUGAACGUUACCUAUACCGUUGCUUCGGCGGGCGGCCCCGGGGUUUACCCCCCGGGCGCCCCUGGGCCCCACCGCGGGCGCCCGCCGGAGGUCACCAAACUCUUGAUAAUUUAUGGCCUCUCUGAGAUCUUCUGUACUGAAUAAGUCAAAACUUUCAACAACGGAUCUCUUGGUUCUGGCAUCGAUGAAGAACGCAGCGAAAUGCGAUAAGUAAUGUGAAUUGCAGAAUUCAGUGAAUCAUCGAAUCUUUGAACGCACAUUGCGCCCGCCAGCAUUCUGGCGGGCAUGCCUGUUCGAGCGUCAUUUCAACCAUCAAGCCCCCGGGCUUGUGUUGGGGACCUGCGGCUGCCGCAGGCCCUGAAAAGCAGUGGCGGGCUCGCUGUCGCACCGAGCGUAGUAGCAUACAUCUCGCUCUGGUCGCGCCGCGGGUUCCGGCCGUUAAACCACCUUUUAACCCAAGGUUGACCUCGGAUCAGGUAGGAAGACCCGCUGAACUUAAGCAUAUCAUAAGCCGGAGGAAAA
rnacentral:rRNA from 1 species